GGAGAUGUAGUUAAUGAUAAUAUUUGAUUUGCAUUCAAAAGGUGCUUAUAUUUUUGAGCCUUCUUCA
rnacentral:tRNA from 1 species